rnacentral:rRNA from 1 species
AUUGAACGCUGGCGGCAUGCUUUACACAUGCAAGUCGAACGGUAACAGGGAGCUUGCUCCGCUGACGAGUGGCGAACGGGUGAGUAAUGCGUCGGAACGUGCCGAGUAGUGGGGGAUAACGCAGCGAAAGUUGUGCUAAUACCGCAUACGUACUGAGGUAGAAAGUGGGGGACCUUCGGGCCUCACGCUAUUCGAGCGGCCGACGUCUGAUUAGCUAGUAGGUGAGGUAAAGGCUCACCUAGGCGACGAUCAGUAGCGGGGCUGAGAGGAUGAUCCGCCACACUGGGACUGAGACACGGCCCAGACUCCUACGGGAGGCAGCAGUGGGGAAUUUUGGACAAUGGGCGAAAGCCUGAUCCAGCCAUGCCGCGUGUCUGAAGAAGGCCUUCGGGUUGUAAAGGACUUUUGUCGGGGAGGAAAUCCCCAGCGUUAAUACCGCUGGGGGAUGACAGUACCUGAAGAAUAAGCACCGGCUAACUACGUGCCAGCAGCCGCCGUAAUAC